CAGGGGUUUGCUGUUGCUGGUUUCAGGUGGCAGGGCUGGGGUGGGGGGUGGCACCGUGUGGUACAGAUGGAGGGAGGCGGUUGGGAUAGAGCCACUGGCCGGCUCCUUUAGAAACCAGCAGGUGGGGUGUGACUUUGCCCACCCUCCCUGGCACGACUCCCAGGUGUCUUGGAGGCGCUAGGCCUGGAGGUGCUCACUCGCAGGCUGCCGGGCCGGCCCCGGAAGCCACAGGCGGGCAUGUUGGACCAGAGACACAGGAAGCAGGGACGCCCUUCCCUUUUCUUCUCUGAGCCCUCCUGAAUGGAUGGAGCCCACCGUCCCUGUCGGGGGAACCGGGUCCAAGGCGGACGGGGUGUUUGAGACCACAGGUGAGAUGAGUCCUGUUGUAGUCCCUUCCAGGCCAAGGAAUUACAGACUUCCGCCUCCAUGUGAAUAAGACGCAGGUAAACCCAGCACGCUGGGUGGGGAUCAGGCAUCUGUGUAGAUGCUGGUAGAGGAGGUGCUGGUGGCCGUUUCGGCCACAAGAGGGCGCACAGGCUCCAGGAACGGUUUCUCAGGGCUGGCCAAUAAGGGGUCCAGGAGGGGUGGCUAGAUGUGAGAGCAUUGGCUGCAGAUGGGACACCGGGACUCAACUCUCACUUUUCAGAAUCACUCUGUCAUUGUCCCUAGCACGAGGGCCAUCCGUGGGUUCAUUGAUGUAAGAAGCAUUUGCCGAGAACCUGGGGUGGAGGUGGGGCCGGCUCUGAGCCAGCAGGCUCUGGGGAGGUAGAGUCAGACAAGCCCACGUGGAUGUUGUGGGGGAGCAGACAGUCUGGGCAGGGAGUCUGACCGUCAAAACUGCAGUCUCCGUGUGGCGUGUCUGUGCUGUGACAGAGGGACAUGCCGAGUGCAGUGGGGGCGAGUGUUGAUUCUGCUUGCGACUUGGGAAAAGGCUUCCCGCUGUGGGUAGUAUUUGCUGUGGGUCUUGAAGAGUGAGUAGGAGUUCAUCAGGCCAAAAAGUUAGGGAAAAGGCAGUCCCGGCAGGGGAAUGUCGUGAGCCGGGGCCUGGAGGCAGGAACCCAAGCUGGCUAGGCACGUGAAUGUCCGCUGGGAGGAGGCUGGCUGGCAGAGGGUGUUGGCUAACUGGGUUGGGGGCGAGAUGGGGAGGGAGGAGUCUGGGCAGAUCCAGGUUGUGUGGGGCCGGAAGCUUCUAAGGUUUUGGAGGCUUCUUGGAACACGAACACCAAACUGGGCAGAGGGGCUUGGAAGGGUGCACCUAAGCGAGAGAUCUGAGGCUUAAGCUUAUUAGCUGCAUGGAAAAUCCCCCUGUGCGUGGGAGACACAUCUGUGACAUCUUCCCUGCUUCCUUUUAGAUUUCCUGCCUGCCCUCAGCAGCUGGCUUCCCUCGGGCAGCAAAGAGUUUCUGCUUUCUCCCUCCCUUCACGGGUGCCCCGGAGCCUCCGGCAGUGGUUCGGGACCAGAUUCACGAAACCAGAGUCUGGGGCUCUCCUGGAGGCAGGGAGGCCGCGCUGUUCUGCUGGGGGAGGGGGCUGGGGAUGGCUUUUCACACCCAGUCUAUGCAAAUAGUGGCCCACAAUUUUUGCGCGGGGCGUCUGUAACUCUGUCCAGGUUAACACCUUAAAUAAUUCACAGGUGUGGAGCAUUUUCUGUGGCCCAAGCACUAUUCACACCUCGCCGCACCCGGGUGAAGGGCAGGUAAACCGUUCCCGCCGCAGAAGGCUCAUGAUUGGCCCAAGGAUACCUGGCGUGCUGUACCCUGGCGGGUGGACCUCAUGCUCGGCGCCCUCGCUGCUUCACCCUGUUGCCUCUGGCUCGCUGUCAGCUCGACAGAUACUUAACCCCGAGAUCGCUUUUCUUGGGCACCUGCACAGGGCAAUGAUUCAACAUGGAAGUGAAACCACAAAUGAUGUGGCUGGCUUUGAUACUCUCCUGUCUUGCUGUGUUUUGAUGGUAAAGGCAUACGCACAGACAUCAACAAGAAGAGUCAAAGAGCGAAAGCCUCCUUGCCCUUGAACUUUCCCAGAAGCUGCGGGAGCCUGGAGACAGCAGAGGUGGCUGAUGCAUCUGGUCGGGGAGAUACAGUUUACGCAGAGGAAGUGUUGACGGCACUCCGGGCAGGUGGAGUCAGAUCCUGCCCGGUUUUUUGAUCCCACCUCCCACCCCUCUUCAGCUUGGAGGCAGGCCUGAGUUGUGGGCGGAAGGAAAUGUGAGGGGUGGUUUCCCCUCCCUAACCUUACCCAGGGCCUGUGGCAUGUUGUUCCUUGAGGACAUUUUCCUUCCCAGAGGGCAUCUCUCUGUCUUCUGGGCUGGCCUGGUGUUCGGCCAUUACUCAUAAGCUUAAUCCAGAGCUGUGGUUUUCCACCCACUUUGUCACCGGUGCCUUACCUCCAAGCCACUUGUACUGUUGUUUAUUUUUUUUCUUAAACCUGGCUCACUUGCAAGAAUUGAAUCUCUUGUUUCUUGAAACUUGUCCUAAGUCACGAAAUGCACAAAAUCCAGACCUGCUGUGCUUAAUUUCUCUUCUUAAACACAUUAAGAUACAUGCACGACUAUUAAAAACAUGGCACCAGGCACCGGCAUAAUCUCCUCCUGAUCGCCCGUGGGUGCACCCACGCUCUGGGGAAGACCGAUGUGGAGGGGCGGUGGGGGAAUCCUUGGCCAGGUUCCGUCUGAACCCGAAAGCCACCUCCUAAAACACCGUUGACAAGUCUUGAAACACUCAGGGAUGCUGUCGCCAUUCCACACGUCCCAAGACACAGACCCUGCCCAGCAAACCUUAGGCACUAAAACUGGUGCCCCGGGGUGGGGGUGGAGGGCUACAGUGAUCCCCAGCUCACGGCAGUCAUUUACUUAAGCUGAUGUAAUGGCACCUUGGCCUUGAGUCGCCUAAGGUGAGUGACCACAGUUUAUACCUCAAACUGGCUGAGACUGGCUGCAGAUGUAUGAUGUAUGCCUCCCCCUAGAUGAUGUUUUGGCUCUACUGAGACUCCGUCAAGGCUCUGUUCGGACCACAAGAGCUUUUGGGUGUCAUUUGUCACGAAGGCCCUAGAAUGUCAACCUUACCACCCUAGCUCAGGGCCAGGGCUCCGUCUAUGUUUUCUCUGUCAUCAGAUACCCAUUGGAUCCCUUCUCUCAAGAUCGCCACGUGAGGAAGUGGGGGCUAGCUCUCAGUAGUCCGCGUGCUCCUAACGUUCGCUUAUUAGAAGUGGGGCUGGCUUCUAACUUUCUCAUUGACUUUAUCUUGCUCAGAGAAGUAUUAAAACCAAGUAUUCUUGGGACUAGAAUCUAUCAAGACACCUAAAUAGCUGUUUCUCUUAAAGGCUCACUGAAAACAAUACACUGACAAACCUAAACAUCUUUGUGUCCAACCUUAAGUAUAUUCACUAUGACUUUCUCACCUUCUUCCUCUUCGGUGUGAAGUAACCAGAAAGAUUUUCUUUGGGAACCCCCUAUGCCCUCAUAUAAUAGACUUUGGUGGACCCAUCGCGCUGUCCUUCACACCCAAAUGGUGGCAGUCUGCCUAUAAGAGAGAUCCCUUGGGGGCUUAUUGAAAAUUACUGAUUCCUGGGCUCCCACUCCGCAGAGUUCGAGUAGACAGGUCUGGAAUGGGUUCCAGGUAGCUCCAUUCUCGGAAGGAUCCUUAGGGGACUCUGAAGCAUUUGGGGGCACCUGCUCUCCACUUGCCCUGACUUGCCUAAAUUUUGGAGAGAGCUUGACUCAAGCCUUAAGCUGGGGUCUGUGUUACACAGGGGUGUCUUGAGGCCCAGGGCUGAGUAGGCAGGGAACCAGUGGAUAUCAAGAUUGCAUUUCUGCCUGGGCAGUUGGUUACCAGGACUAAGAAGCUGUUGAGGUUUCCUCCUCCAUAAACCCUACCAUUACCAUAAAGGGUGAUGGUUAUCUUCCUGUGCGCUUUGGAAAGAGACUGUAUCCAUCUAAUCUAAGAGUGCCAUCAAAUCAUGUGGCGUCACUUAAAGAGCAAGGGCCCCACCGCUCAGCCUUGUUGUAGGUCCUGCGAGAUGGUGAUCCGUCUGGAGACCAUUUCUGCCUACCCUCAUUCUUAUAUUGAAAUCAAAGGCAGGCUUUUGAACAAUGUCGUCAGAUGGUGAUUGCUGUGUGGGCUCAUGUGGCUUGGUGCCUAGCUGAUUUCUGUCCUGGGGGUCAAAUGCAAAGAUAGAUGAGUGCAAAGCUGCUCACUCUAAUGCUGUUCUAGAUUUGACCUUCCGAAGGAAAGUGACCUACUGAAUAUCUAUUACGUAUCAGUACGUGUAUGUAUCCUACUACCCCGCAUUCUCCCACAUACCUCCUUUCAAUCUCCACAAUAGCCAUGGGAAGUUAAUAUUUUUAUGUCCACUUUGAUACAGGCAAGGAUUGAAACUUGAUCUUGUUCACAGUAACAGUGUUUCACUCUGCAGAUGGCCUGGUGCUCUCACGCCAUAAUGUCACAUCACUAAAGCGAGUACUCUGGUGGCCAAGAAUUAGGAAGAGCUGUCUGAAAUCUGCUGUCUGCUCAUUCGGGCCACUGGAUCAAAAGAAUGGGAGAAAGGUUAAAGUUUGAGGGGCAGUAAACGUAUCAUUGUGUUGUUUUGUUUUUUUUUUUAAUUAAAUUUUAAGAACAGUUUUAGGUUCCCAGCAAAAUUGAGAGGAAGAUACAGAGAUUUCUCAUAAACACCGGUGGGAACACUUGCAGAGCUUUCUGUAAUAUUAACAUCCCAGAAUGCUACAUUUGUUACCACUGAUGAAGCUGCACUGAUGCAUCAUCAUCCCACAAAGUCCAUAGUUUAUACUCCAUAAGCAUUUCUUUUGUAAAAAAUAAAAAUGGCAUGAAAUUGCUGAUAUCUGUUCUUGACUUACAAAAAUGGCAAUUUUAUGUGGUUCACUUAAUACAAAGGCAACGUUGAAAAUCUCUCUUCACUCCUACCCCUACCCCACUCCCACACAAUUAGAGGGUCCUUUCUGUGUGUGCAUGCGCACCAGUGUGUGUAUAAAUAGGAUCAUACUGUAUCCUUUUGCGACUUGGAUUGGUCUUUUAAAAAUGGCGUUGACUUUUUAAUUUGGCUUUAAUUUGGAGUAAUUGAAGUAAAAAAGAAAUACAGCUGACCCUUGACCAACACAGGUUUGACCUGCCUGUGUCCUCUUAUAUGCAGAUUUGUUUUUCUCCUGCCAAAAGCUAUACUGUUUCCAUUUGGUUUAUGGCUUGGGCAGGGCUAGAAAGCUGCCUAGGGGCUGCGGGUAGAGGCUCUGGCAGAAGCCCCCACGCCAGGGGGUGCAGAAGGGCCCCUCAAAAGCCGUGGGCUCCGGAGGCUGCUAGGGGGCAGGAGGGUGAGCCUCUGGAAGAGACGCUGCGCAGCCCGGCCCCCGGAGCUCAGGCGGGUGCACCCCAUCUUCCUGGCGAGGUUCACCUGCUCCUCUAGGAUCCGGUUUUCUGGCAAGACCCAGAGUGUGUGUGGGCGGGGCUUGCAGAUCCAGAAGGGCCUGCUUUGGGGUUUUCUCCUGGGCUGGGGCGGCUUCCACUGAGUUCAGGGUUUGGCCCUGUCAGUCUUGGGAGGCUUCUGCUCGUCCUGGAAGACGGCACAGCCGCGGUGCGGGGUUGGCAUCGAGGGGCUCCCAGUGCCUUGGCGCUGGUCCUCUGCCCACUGGCGGAGGAAAUGCCACAUCGUCGCGGUGCGAAUAGAAGCCCAGAGAGAGGUAGGGAAGGAGGCCCGCAAGAUGCAGGUAGACCGGGGCUGACCAUGGCUGGCACUUGAGCGGAAUAAUUCUGCAAAUCUGGAAGCUCUUGUAGCAGGUGCAGAUAAGGGGCAAAGCUCCAAAUCUGGUGUUGGCUGGUCCCGGAGGCAGGGGGCAGUGAAGGUGGUGGGGAAGGUAGCUCCUAUCGAGGAGGUUGGAGGGUGGUUGGAGGCUGGAAGAAGGGGCGUCCCUGGGUGGGUUCCGUCCAAAUACUUGUUGCAGCAAGAGACAGACCUGAGGGACCUAGGGUCACACUGUCUAUACAGGUGUGUUUGUUUGUUGCUGCACCGUGCUGCAAACGUAUUUUCCUUAUGGUUUUCUUAACAUUUUUCCUAAGCCGAGUUUGUUGUAGGAAUACAAUCUAUACGUGUUAUAUACAACGUGUGCAUAUAUAUGUAUAUACAUAUGUAUGUAUAUAACAUAUGUACGAAACAUGUAUUAAUUAUGUUAUCAGUAAAGCUUCUGGUCAACU